GUUUAACCAAAACAUCAAAAUCACAUGUUAUCUAAAUUAAAGGGCUAAUCUUUAAUAAUAUAAUACUAAACAAUAUUUUCAUAAAAAAUCUACUAUCUGCAUUGCCUAAGCAAGGAGUUAUGAAGAAUGCAGAUAUGUAUGAAAUGUAAAAUGGGUUUACACUCAGAAAAAAUAUAUUAACAAUGUGGUAUAGGCCUUAUUCUAAAGUAUAAGUUAGGAAUGGAAGGCAGGUCUCACAUGGACUGUCUGCUCUUAAGACCAGAUAUUUGUCUGCUGUCAUCAUUUUUGCCCAUUCAGUCAAAAAACAUAUACUUUAAUUCUCAUAUAACCAAUUCAUUCAACAUUGUGAAUUCAACGGGUCAUGAAAAGGAAAUUUUUCUUCUAAUAUUGCUUUAAAUCAUUGUUGAAUCUCUCUUCUCCUUACCAUGGUGAUACCAAAGGUAAAUUUCUUCACUUUAGUAUCAUUAUCAGUUAUAAGAACAGUGAUAUUUUAACAAUUAAGAUGGACUCACUGAUUUUAAAGGUUCAAACCUAUCUAAAUCAAAAUUCAAUCUACCAAAAAACCCAAAGUUUGUCCCCUCUGAUGCCCUGUUAUAACCUAAAGUUUGGGAAAGGGGUAUAUUCUAUUCUUUCAUUCAUUCUCGUUGUCCUUUAUGACUGAAGGAGGGGGAAAAGGUUUUUAUUUUCUUGAUUUUUUUUGUUUAUUAUUCCCUAAUUAUCUCACUCUACUAGUUAACACUGAUUGGAUGUCAAUGCCUUUGUCUGGUAGAUAUUCAAGUUCUUCAGAGGCUUUAGAGGCUUUGGAGGCUGACAUAAUUAUUCACUUUUCAGCAGAGCACUUUACUCAUCUACAUUUCUUGAAAGUACAUUUAGCAUGGCUCUAGCUUGUCUUCUUUUCCUGGUAUUCACUUGUUCCAGAGGAAAUAAAAAUGUCCUCUCCUUACCAUGCCAAGCAGUAGUGGCACAGGUUGACUCACUAUUGCUCUAUUAUUAUGGGCCACACCCAUUAGUCUAUCACUUCCAGAAUUCUCUAGGUAUGAAUUCUUUAGUUAUUCUUGUGUGUCCCUUAAUUCAGAAAGCAUGUAUCUGAGAAGCAGUUUUGCUAAUUUCCAGUCCUAAAGGAGGACUCCCACUUUGUGGGAAAUAGCAAAGAUCAUAACUAUGCUAACCACCAGAACACGGGUUCAAAUACUCCUAUCUACUGUAUCCUGGGCUACUGUUUAGGUUCAUUAUGCACUGGUUACCUAUUUUUCUGAGCCUAGUGAGACAGAACACACACACAACAAGUUAUAUAAAGCAGGUUUAUUACUUACAGAUAGGCAGCAAGGGACAGAUGAAUUCUUGGAUCCAUUGUAGGCUGGUUCCUCAAGCUGCCCAGGAUGGAUGGAGUCUUGAUUGCACGUGAUCCACUUUGCACCACAGCUGAAGGACCCUAUAAGGGACCUGCCCAGGUUCAGAUACCUUGGGGGCUACAUGACACAUUGGGCAAAACUUUGAAGAACAUCCUGCUUCCAGGGGAGAGAGCAACAAAGCCUGGCUUGCCUGGGAAGUUCCACCCUAACUCAAGAUACUACAAGCCGUAGGAGGGACAGAAACAAGGCCUAGACUGUUGCAAGCAGUACCUCCCUAUAUCAGGAUACUGCAUUCCCAUUACAUUCUAGUUAUUCUACAUAACUGUAUGCAAAAAAAGAGGAGGAGAACUGGGUCAGUCCGAAGUCAUCUGUAGGAAGGUCUUGCAGUAUCAAGCUCUUCUAAGACAGUUUUCCAUUGUUGCCCCCAAGAGAAGACUUACAGAAUCAUACACGUUAGCAUUCAGCUAUAUAGUGAAAGGCCAGUUAUCCAUUGUUCAGCCAUUCCCAAUUUCUCUGAGUGGUACCUUUCAAAGAUCCAUCAUUUAGCUUUAGAGAAAGGGUGGGACAAUAAAUAUAUAGGAAAUUCUGUAUCCUAUAAAUUUAUUCAAAUUUCUAGUCUUUUAUAUAACCCAAUCAGAGUGCCAUGGGUGAAAGUUACAAAACCUUCAUGUUAUAACUAGUAAAUUGUGGGUAUAAAAUAUUUUUUAUAUUUUGAUAGUGUUAUCUUUAUAAUACAGAGGUACACUUAACUUGUUAUUUUAAUUGUGCAUAUUUAAAGUAUACAACAAAACAUAUUGAUGUAAUUAUAAGUAGUAGAAUAGUUACUGCAGUCGAGUAGACUAAUAAUCCAGCAUCCAUAACUCACAUAUUACCUCUCUUUCUUGUGGUUAGAGCACCCAAUAUUAUAACUGUUGCCCUCAUGCUGUACAUUAGACCUCUAGAUUUGUUCACCCUGCAUAACUGCAACUUUCUACCUUUUGAUUCACAUCUCCCCAUUCCCCUCACCACUACCCCUAUGUAGCUGAAUUGAUUUUUUAAAGUAAAAAAUAAAUAAAAAUAGUCAAGAUACAGCUACCUUCUGCUUACAAAAGACUCACUCUAAUUUUAAAAAUAGGCUGAAAGUGAAGGAAUAAAAAAGUAUCUAAUUCAAAUGGUAACUAAAAUAAAGCAGGUGUGGCUAUACUUAGAUAAAACAGAUCUCAUGUCAAAAACUGCACAAGAGUCAAAGAAGGUAAUUAUAUAGUGAUAAAAUAGUCAAUUUAUCCAGAGGACACAAAAAUUGUAAAUAUAUAUGCACCCAACAUUAGAGCAUCUAAAUGUAUAAAGCAAGUAUUAAUACAUCUAAAGGAAGAAAUAGACAGCUAGACAGCACUGCAAUAAUAAUAGGGGACUUCAGUACUCUUCUUUAGACAACAGAUAGUUUAACUAGAAAGAA
ensembl:lncRNA